rnacentral:rRNA from 1 species
CCUACGGGAGGCAGCAGUAGGGAAUAUUGCACAAUGGGCGAAAGCCUGAUGCAGCAACGCCGCGUGCGCGAUGAAGGCCUUCGGGUCGUAAAGCGCUUUUCUGGAGGACGAGGCAGGACGGUACUUCAGGAAUAAGGAUUGGCUAACUACGUGCCAGCAGCCGCGGUAACACGUAGGAUCCGAGCGUUAUCCGAAUUUACUGGGCGUAAAGCGCGUGUAGGCGGCUGGGUAAGUUGGACGUAAAAUCUCCUGGCUCAACUGGGAGGGGUCGUUCAAGACUGCCUGGCUAGAGGGCGGUAGUGGGAGGUGGAAUUCCCGGUGUAGUGGUGAAAUGCGUAGAUAUCGGGAGGAACACCAGUGGCGAAGGCGGCCUCCUGGGCCGCACCUGACGCUCAGACGCGAAAGCUAGGGGAGCGAACGGGAUUAGAUACCCCGGUAGUCCUAGCUGUAAACGAUGGAUGCUAGGUGUGGGUGGUAUUGACCCCAUCCGUGCCGAAGCUAACGCGUUAAGCAUCCCGCCUGGGGACUACGGCCGCAAGGUUAAAACUCAAAGGAAUUGACGG